AGUGGGGAAUAUUGGACAAUGGGCGGAAGCCUGAUCCAGCAACGCCGCGUGAGGGAUGACGGCCUUCGGGUUGUAAACCUCUUUCAGUACCGACGAAGCGAGAGUGACGGUAGGUACAGAAGAAGCACCGGCCAACUACGUGCCAGCAGCCGCGGUAAUACGUAGGGUGCGAGCGUUGUCCGGAAUUAUUGGGCGUAAAGGGCUCGUAGGCGGUUUGUCGCGUCGGGAGUGAAAACACCGGGCUUAACUCGGUGCUUGCUUUCGAUACGGGCAGACUAGAGGUAUGCAGGGGAGAACGGAAUUCCUGGUGUAGCGGUGAAAUGCGCAGAUAUCAGGAGGAACACCGGUGGCGAAGGCGGUUCUCUGGGCAUGACCUGACGCUGAGGAGCGAAAGUGUGGGGAGCGAA
rnacentral:rRNA from 1 species